UGGGGAAUAUUGCACAAUGGGCGCAAGCCUGAUGCAGCCAUGCCGCGUGUGUGAAGAAGGCCUUCGGGUUGUAAAGCACUUUCAGCGAGGAGGAAGGUGGUGAACUUAAUACGUUCAUCAAUUGACGUUACUCGCAGAAGAAGCACCGGCUAACUCCGUGCCAGCAGCCGCGGUAAUACGGAGGGUGCAAGCGUUAAUCGGAAUUACUGGGCGUAAAGCGCACGCAGGCGGUUUGUUAAGUCAGAUGUGAAAUCCCCGGGCUCAACCUGGGAACUGCAUUUGAAACUGGCAAGCUAGAGUCUCGUAGAGGGGGGUAGAAUUCCAGGUGUAGCGGUGAAAUGCGUAGAGAUCUGGAGGAAUACCGGUGGCGAAGGCGGCCCCCUGGACGAAGACUGACGCUCAGGUGCGAAAGCGUGGGGGCAGCAAACAGGAUUAGAUACCCUGGUAGUCCACGCUGUAAACGAUGUCGAUUUGGAGGUUGUG
rnacentral:rRNA from 1 species